GACGAACGCUGGCGGCGUGCGUAACCCAUGCAAGUCGAACGAGCAGAUUUCCUUCGGGGAAGAAGCGAGUGGCGGACGGGUGAGUAACGCGUAUCCAACCUGCCUUACACUCUUGGACAGCCUUCUGAAAGGGAGAUUAAUACAAGAUGUUAUCAUGAGUAAGCAUUUUCGCAUGAUUAAAGGUUUACCGGUGUAAGAUGGGGAUGCGUUCCAUUAGAUAGUAGGCGGGGUAACGGCCCACCUAGUCUUCGAUGGAUAGGGGUUCUGAGAGGAAGGUCCCCCACAUUGGAACUGAGACACGGUCCAA
rnacentral:rRNA from 1 species